AGAGUUUGAUCCUGGCUCAGAACGAACGCUGGCGGCGUGGAUCAGGCAUGCAAGUCGUACGAGAAAGGGGUAGCAAUACUCCGAGUACAGUGGCGAACGGGUGCGUAGCGCGUGGGGAACCUGCCCUUAAGUUGGGGAUAACACUCCUAACGGGGUGCUAAUACCGAAUGUGGCUGCCGGGUCGCAUGGCCUGGCAGUUAAAGGUGGCCUAUGCUUGCAAGCUACCGCUUAUGGAUGGCCCCGCGUCCCAUUAGCUUGUUGGUGAGGUAACGGCUCACCAAGGCUACGAUGGGUAGCUGGUCUGAGAGGACGGCCAGCCACACUGGAACUGAGACACGGUCCAGACUCCUACGGGAGGCAGCAGUCGAGAGGCUUUGGCAAUGGGGGAAACCCUGACCAAGCGACGCCGCGUGGGUGAUGAAGGCCUUCGGGUCGUAAAGCCCUGUCAUGCGGGGAGAAACGCUGAUGUUCGAAUAGGGCAUCAGUUUGACGGUACCGCAAGAGGAAGCUCCGGCUAACUCCGUGCCAGCAGCCGCGGCAAUACGGGGGGAGCGAGCGUUGUUCGGAAUUACUGGGCGUAAAGGGCGUGUAGGCGGCCAAAUAUGUGGGGCGUGAAAUACUCUGGCUCAACCAGAGAACUGCGCUCCAAACGGUUUGGCUUGAGUACAGGAGAGGAGAUUAGAAUUCCCGGUGUAGCGGUGAAAUGCGUAGAUAUCGGGAGGAAUACCAGUGGCGAAGGCGGAUCUCUGGCCUGAUACUGACGCUGAAGCGCGAAGCUAGGGGAGCGAACGGGAUUAGAUACCCGGUAGUCCUAGCCGUAAACGGUGGGCACUAGGUGUGGGAGGCAUCGACCCCUCCCGUGCCGCAGCUAACGCAUUAAGUGCCCCGCCUGGGGAGUACGGCCGCAAGGUUGAAACUCAAAUGAAUUGACGG
rnacentral:rRNA from 1 species